CUGUCCAAUGAUGAUCAAACUACUUUUGUUCUUCUGAUGCGUUGUGUGGAAGCAAUUUGGAGACCUGAACUGAGGAAAU
rfam:Triticum aestivum genome assembly, contig: Triticum_aestivum_CS42_TGACv1_scaffold_485580_6AS